AAACUUUUGAUGUCCACAUUUUCAACAUUUUUGGGAAAUCUUUGAACAUUUUUUGGUGGAAAAAAAACAUUUCUUUAAGAACAUUCACAUAAAAAUCAACCAAAAUCCAGCGAAAUUCGCUGGAUUUUGAUUGACUGUCCGUGCGUCUGGACAAUCAACCAAAGGGUUCCCACGCGUCCUGGAAAACCUGUAAAACCUGGAAAAGGACCAAUUUUCCAGUCAUGUAAAACAUAUGGAAAAUGAGAAAAAAGGUCAAAUGUCCUGGAAACGGUGAACUUAUUCUGGAAAAAUAUUUAUCCUCCCCCUGUCAAUGCAAACGGGUUAAAAGUUAUGCGCAUGCAUGUGUGUUGUCACCUUAUCUUCUGGGCAACAUUAAGGCAUAAAAUAUAUAAUAUAUAAUAGCGCUCACAGAUAUGAAUCAGUAGAUAGGACACGCCCAUAUAUAAAUGAAUGAGUAGACAGGCCACGCCCAUUUGAGCUACAGCGAGGCUAAGCUAGUGGGGGCAAAGUUUCAGUGCAUUCCGUUGAUGUAGACGGGUGAAAACGUAAACAACAAGUAUGCCGGCUCACUGUGCUGCAUACAGUUACACACUACGUCGUACGAUUGAAACAAGGAAACUCGGAAUAACUUUUCAGAGGUUUCCCAGAGACUAUGGGUUGAGGAGGAAGUGGAAGCAGCUCUGGGAAGAGAGGGAUUUGCUGCAAAUGAUGAGUGGGUGCUCUGCAGUGAUCAUUUGAAACCUGAAGAGUUUGACAGGGCUGGGCAGGUUUGUCGGCUUACACCUGGUGUCAUUCCAUCAGUGUUUAACUUCUCGGGCCAGAAAGACCACGACCAAGCAGCCUUGAGAUCUUAGGCAGCGUCUUCCUCAGGUCCCUCUCUAUCUCCCCACACAUCCACCAACCACUGGAACACAUCUCCAAAGUUCUGCUGGACCAGCUCAGCUUCCCCUCAGAAGAAGUGCUGCCACCUGCCAGAUGAAGGAGCCUUUUGAGAGGCAGCUGGCAUCGUGAUUGGACUGUACUUUGGUCUGUUCCAAUCCAGCUUCAGCUCCAGAGACGGCAGGCGGGACGAGUCAACGGAGGCCGGAUGGACGAAGGUAUGCAGCUGAGUACAAUCCAGAAAACAACAGAGGAGGAGUGCAGCAACCCAGAGCCAGAACAGAGUAGCAUGGUAUGUCUCUUAGAAAACAUCAUAGUAUAGCCUUUGGUAUGAAAAAACACCAUCAUAUACAUCGUAUAUUGUACAAAUAACAAGUCAAAGGAAAGAGACAUACAUUGUAGAAUUGUAGUAAUUGUGGGCUGACUGAUUUACUGAUUAUCAGUAUUUUAUUUUUUACUGAUUUACGGUAAUAAAUACAUUUAAAAAUGGU